UACGUAGGGCGCAAGCGUUGUCCGGAAUUAUUGGGCGUAAAGAGCUCGUAGGCGGCCUGUCGCGUCUGCUGUGAAAACUCGGGGCUCAACUCCGAGCUUGCAGUCGAUACGGGCAGGCUAGAGUUCGGCAGGGGAGACUGGAAUUCCUGGUGUAGCGGUGAAAUGCGCAGAUAUCAGGAGGAACACCGGUGGCGAAGGCGGGUCUCUGGGCCGAUACUGACGCUGAGGAGCGAAAGCGUGGGGAGCGAACAGG
rnacentral:rRNA from 1 species